rnacentral:rRNA from 1 species
UACAGAGGGUGCGAGCGUUGUUCGGAAUUAUUGGGCGUAAAGGGCGCGUAGGCGGUGCGGUAAGUCACCUGUGAAAUCUCCUGGCUCAACUGGGAGCUUGCAGGCGAAACUGCCGUGCUGGAGUGUGGGAGAGGUGCGUGGAAUUCCCGGUGUAGCGGUGAAAUGCGUAGAUAUCGGGAAGAACACCCGUGGCGAAGGCGGUUCUCUGGGACGGUACUGACGCUGAGACGCGAAAGCGUGGGGAGCGAACAGG